AACGAACGCUGGCGGCAUGCCUAACACAUGCAAGUCGAACGAGAUCUUCGGGUCUAGUGGCGCACGGGUGCGUAACGCGUGGGAAUCUGCCCUUUGGUUCGGAAUAACAGUUGGAAACGACUGCUAAUACCGGAUGAUGACGAAAGUCCAAAGAUUUAUCGCCAGAGAAUGAGCCCGCGUAGGAUUAGCUAGUUGGUGUGGUAAAGGCGCACCAAGGCGACGAUCCUUAGCUGGUCUGAGAGGAUGAUCAGCCACACUGGGACUGAGACACGGGCCAGAGUCCUAGGGGAGGCAGCAAGGAGGAAUAUUGGGAAAUGGGAGAAGGGCUGAUACAACAAGGCCGCGUGAGUGGUGAAGGCCUAAGGGUUGGAAAGCUCAUGUGACCGGGAUGAUAAUGACGGUGCCGGGAGAAUAAGCGCCGGCUAACUCCGUGCCAGCCGCCGCCGUAA
rnacentral:rRNA from 1 species